AGAGUUUGAUCCUGGCUCAGGAUGAACGCUGGCGGCGUGCUUAACACAUGCAAGUCGAACGAAGAGGCAUAGAGGAAGUUUUCGGAUGGAAUCAAUGAAUCUUAGUGGCGGACGGGUGAGUAACGUGUGGGCAACCUGCCCUUUACAGGGGAAUAAUCAUUGGAAACGAUGACUAAUACCGCAUGUCAACACGAGGAGGCAUCUUCUUGUGAGAAAAGGAGGAAUCCGGUAAAGGAUGGGCCCGCAUCUGAUUAGCUAGUUGGUGAGAUAAUAGCCCACCAAGGCGACGAUCAGUAGCCGACCUGAGAGGGUGAUCGGCCACAUUGGGACUGAGACACGGCCCAAACUCCUACGGGAGGCAGCAGUGGGGAAUAUUGCACAAUGGGGGAAACCCUGAUGCAGCAACGCCGCGUGAAGGAAGACGGUUUUCGGAUUGUAAACUUCUAUCGACAGGGAAGAAGAAAGUGACAGUACCUGAAUAAGAAGCCCCGGCUAACUACGUGCCAGCAGCCGCGGUAAUACGUAGGGGGCAAGCGUUAUCCGGAAUUACUGGGUGUAAAGGGUGAGUAGGCGGCAUGGUAAGCCAGAUGUGAAAGCCCGCAGCUUAACUGCGGGAUUGCAUUUGGAACUACUAAGCUAGAGUACAGGAGAGGAAAGCGGAAUUCCUAGUGUAGCGGUGAAAUGCGUAGAUAUUAGGAAGAACACCGGUGGCGAAGGCGGCUUUCUGGACUGAAACUGACGCUGAGGCACGAAAGCGUGGGGAGCGAACAGGAUUAGAUACCCUGGUAGUCCACGCCGUAAACGAUGAGCGCUAGGUGUCGGGGAGGAAUCCUCGGUGCCGCAGCAAACGCAAUAAGCGCUCCACCUGGGGAGUACGAUCGCAAGAUUGAAACUCAAAGGAAUUGACGGGGGCCCGCACAAGCGGUGGAGCAUGUGGUUUAAUUCGAAGCAACGCGAAGAACCUUACCAAGGCUUGACAUCCCGCUGACCGCUCUAGAGAUAGAGUUUCUCUUCGGAGCAGCGGAGACAGGUGGUGCAUGGUUGUCGUCAGCUCGUGUCGUGAGAUGUUGGGUUAAGUCCCGCAACGAGCGCAACCCUUAUCGUUAGUAGCCAGUAUUAAGUUAGGCACUCUAAUGAGACUGCCGUGGAUAACACGGAGGAAGGUGGGGAUGACGUCAAAUCAUCAUGCCCCUUAUGUCUUGGGCAACACACGUGCUACAAUGGCCGGAACAAAGUGAGGCAAGACGGUGACGUUAAGCAAAACACAAAAAACCGGUCCCAGUUCGGAUUGUAGUCUGCAACUCGACUAUAUGAAGCCGGAAUCGCUAGUAAUCGCGAAUCAGCAUGUCGCGGUGAAUACGUUCCCGGGCCUUGUACACACCGCCCGCCACACCAUGGGAGUUGGAAGCACCCGAAGUCGAUGACCUGACCGCAAGGAGGGAGUCGCCUAAGGUGAAGCCAGUGACUGGGGUGAAGUCGUAACAAGGUA
rnacentral:rRNA from 1 species